UCGCGAGCUGUUUUGAAAGGUUUCAUGCAAAACAUAUGCUCUACUAAAAAUAAUAUCAUCGGCGCGAUUAAAACAAAAGAAAACAAAACAACGCAUAAAAGCAUGCAGCCUUGCUCUUGGAAACCACCUCCGGUGUCGCUGCUCUUCCCAGCACUCCCUGCCCGCGGGCAUCCUUCGCCCCACACCUGCCCGCAGCUGGGUCACCCUUGAAGGGGGCUGGGGGUCCCCGAUCCUCGCGCUGCAAAACUCCGCUAGUAAAGGCAAAAUGAAACGAAAGAUCACGUUAACAUGACAUGAGGUUUAUUAUAGGUCUGCUUAGAAUGAAGAGAGACAUAUCCUGAAUUUCCCCAAAGCCUAUGCUGGGAAAAUGAAGACUUCUUGGCGUUAUAAGUAAAUCCGUCUGCAGAAUCGAAGCAGCACCAACAUUCAAAAAAACUGAAGAGGAAAAUACAACAAAACACAACAAUCUCUUUUUUUAUUCUUAUUCUUAUUAUUUAUGUAAAUCAGGUCAUCACUGGACAAGAAACCAAUUUCUACCCAUUACCAUAACAGCUUGUCUAUAAAGAACAGAAAAGAUUCAGAUAGGAUACUAUCUAGUCAGGCGUUUUUUUUUUUUUUGUCGGUU